GUGGCGCCGAAAGCUGCACCCCUGCCAGCCUCGCUCGCUCGGCUGCUUGGAGGACGCAGCGUUUGGUCUUGUAGGAAAGAAAAACUAACGGGACAGACGCGUCCGCGCGCUAAAGGGCUGGCUGAACAGCAACAACGAAAUAAAAGCAAUGUUUAAAUGUCAGUGCAAAGGUAGACUCCGUUAGAAGAGCGGAACUACGCCAGAGGGAAACGGAGAGAGAGCGUAAAAAGGGGGAAAUGUUCGAAAUACUCAUCAAAAUAUCAGCAGCUUGGGAAAGCAAAAACCCCUUGCAUGUAAUUACAGGAAGUUUGCAGUGACCGUAUUGUGCUGUGAGGAACCCGGCAGUGCAAUCCUCUAUACGUGUCUACUCUGAACUUGGGUCUAAUGUAGUGGACUCUAGUCCACGAAAGCUUACGCCAUGACACAAGGCUCAGCAGUAACACAUUUUGAGUCACAGGCAAUCACUCCUUCCUCUGCCCUUCAUAUAUCCACUGACUGCAUGCUUCAGGGUUAAAUCAGGCUCUCAUGGUAAUUUAGUUCUCAUUCUGUCUGACUUCGUGCUGUACAUCUUUAACAAGCAAUUCACAUGGCUCCUCAAAGGCACAUGUUUUAAGUGAACAGCUUUAAGGAGGAAGAUAAGGGGAGAACCAGAACAGGUGGAGGCCGUAAACAGCUCCUGAAGUAUUUCCGUGGAAAAUCUUCUGCCUAUCCCUCUAAAAAGCCAUAGACAUUAAGGUCACUUUUGCCCCAAACCAGCACACAACAUCUUCAGGCAGCACACUGAUGGCUGCCCCUGCACUCUGAUGAACAGUGCUCUGAUCAGCGCCAGGCACCACCAUUUAUCUUUCCCAUCAUCAUCUGUUUAUAUACUGUUUGUUCCAGUAGUUCCACAACUUAAGGUUUUAGCACAGAAGCUGAACCAAGAGUACAAGAACCUACACUCUGGAUGGAUCAUCAGUGACUACAUUAUUAAUCCCAGUGCUACUUUUGUGGAGCUUACCAAACGGAAAUAAGAACAAUAAAAACCAGUUCACUGUUGUAUGGAGACCAAGUAUGGGCUGCAGGAAAUUGAUGUACACUGAAAGCUCACCUUUCACCAAAACCAUCAUAUGAUGCCGCUCAAAAACCAUUAGAAGCCCAUAACUUGCCAUCGGGAAAUUGAAUGAGAUACUAUCAACAUCUUGUCACACUCUCAUGAAGAAUGCAGCAAGUAGCACCACAAGGAAUGCACUGGAAACUCUUACAGGUUAUGCAGUGUUCAGAAAUUGUAACUUAUAUUUUGGGCAAUGAAGACAACUCAGUUUCUCUGGCUUGUUUACAAAGGUUCAAACAUGCGUUUGGAAAUAUGGAAGCAACUAUGUAUUGAAGGCUGCAAUUGUAAACACAUUGCGCUGACAAAGCCGGAUGAUUUUCAAUAGGAUCAGAACAGUUAACACUCAGCUAUAAUCUUCUUAGGUUAAGUUUUCAAAUCAAGCUUUAGAAGUUACAAUUGGCUUCAUUUUGUACACUGGAAACUAAAUACAUUGUGGCUGCCAUCCAAUGCACAGCUAAGCUACAUAUAGGAGAGCUAGACUGCACUAAGCAUUGGUUAUGGGGUAUUUAUUAUAAUAAGUUUUAGCUUAAUUAUUAUAGAAAAAUGAUUAUAGAAUAGCAGCUCAGGUUUAUUUAUUGUUUGUUUAGUUAUAGAAUUAAUAUCCAACCUAUUAAACAAUAAAAAUGCCAAAAGAGUAAUAACAACAGAAAGUCAGCAGUUAAAGGAGUAGUUAAAACCAUUAGAAAAAUGUCACAAAUACCACUAAAUAGCAGAAGAGAAGAGGCCAGACUUCAUCUGGCAUCAAAAACAUUAAGGUUUUGGUUUACUAAAUUUAUGCAUUGGUUCCUACUAAAAAAGUGGGAACAUGGAACAAUUUACAACAAUACAAUAAUCAAAUUACAUUAUUUAUUAUUUAAAUUUAUAUGCUGGUUUCCUAUAUAAAUAUGCUCAAACUGGCUUACAAAAAAAAAAGCCAACCACUACAUCAAACAAAUACUAAAUCAUUUCAAAACAUAACAAUCCAACAAAUAAUUUGAUUAUAUGAACAGUAUAACAUUUGAAAUUAAAUGAACUGCCUUCAAGUAAAUUCUGACUUACGGCGACCCUAUAAAUAGGGUUUUCAUGGUAAGUGGUAUUCAGAGGCGGUUUACCAUUGCCUUCCUCUGAGGCUGAGAGGUCACCCAGUGAGCUUCAUGGCUGUGUGGGGAUUCGAACCCUGGUCUCCCAGGUCGUAGUCCAGCACCUUAACCACUACGCCACACUGGCUCUCAUGGUAUAACAUUUAAAGUCUUCAUAAAACAAACUAUCAAUUAAAACAUAUCAAUGAAUGACAAACAUAAUAAAAAAUCCAAUACAAAAAUACAAGAAAACAGUCUGUUACUGCAGCUCAGAUGUUACAGCCUCUACUGAUCGCUGUCGCUGUUGUUGCUGCUGCCUGUUAACAUCAUGUUUUUAACAUAAACAUAUUAAAAACAUAUUUAAUAAUACAGUAUUAUCUCAGUGCUGCACAAAUGCCCGGAAAAACAAGAACAUCUUUGCCUAGCACUGACAUGAUGACAAAGAUGGCACCAGACAGGCCUCUUGGGGAGAGCAUUAAUAGCAAUAGGACGAGGUGGACAUGUCGAGGGAGAGAUUUCCAUAAGUUGAUCACCACCUCAGAAAAGGCUCUCUAUCUGGUAGCCUCUUGCCUACCUUUAGAAGGGGGGAGCACCCAGAGAAGGGUCUCUGAAGGAAAGCUUAAUUGGCAGGCAGGUUCAUGUGGAAGAAACUGGUCCUGCUCUCCUUUGGCUUAUUGUCCUGUCUCAGUUAAUGGUUAGUAGUUCCAAGUGCUUUAGAGAAAGUAUUUGAGAAACUUAAGCAAAGAUCCAAUAAUACUUACCUGUCAUCACACCAAUAUCACCUGUCACUUGAAUAUAUUAAUAAAUAAGUGACAGGCAAUUCUAAACUUAAUUAAAUUGUAUACGUAAUAGUAACAACAUACAAUAACAUGUAGUUAUCUAGUGAGACAUUGACAGGGCCAGCAUCAGAGGGUGGCCAAGUUGGGCCCUGGCCAAGGGCCUCUGCGGCCCAGAGGGGCCCUUGAAGUGUCCUUCCUUAGGGUAAAAGGGUAGCACUCCUGUUGCAUGAUUGGCGGCAGCAUUGGCUUCUGACACUGCUGCGCAUCGCAGGGAGGGAGCUCCCAGGCACCCCAUCUCCCCAAUACAGUCAGUGUGGGCUUCACUAAGCCUGCACACAUGCACCACCUACCUCUCCUGUCCCUGUAAAAGAUGUGCGUGCUGUGCACGCAUGCCUGCCAUCAACUAACUAAGAUGGCAACCGGGGCUUCCCUAAGGGGCUGAUGACCUUGCCGCCGAUCUUGGUUGAUGGCACGCAUGUGGACACAAUGCACACAUAAUUCACAGGGACAGAUGAGGCAGGUGGGAUGCACAGGCAGGCUUAUUAGCCCCACGCAGCCUGUAUAGGGGAGUUGGCCUAGGGCGCUGUGGGCCCAGGGCAGGCUGGUGCCCUAGGGCCCAGUCAUGCCUGGCACUGACCCUGGACAUUGAGAUCCGCUCUAUUAGCCUAACUCCUCCUCUCCCAGAUGCUUUCUCAGCAGCUGUUUCAGCCAGGAUGUUUCCAGAUGGAGGUUUACUGUGGAAUCAAUGCUGCUCAUGCAUGCAGGUUUUCACACUAUCCACAUGAUGUUGCUGUCAUCAAAAUGCCUUCCCAUGCUUUUUUAAAAAAUCCAUAUUUCCUCUUACCGCAGGAAAUACACACUGAGAACCAGUGUGGUGUAGUUGUUAGAGUGUUGGACUAGGACCUGGGAGACCAUGGUUCAAGUCCCCACUCAGCCAUGAAACUCACUGGGUUACCAUGGACCAGACACUGUCUCUCAGCCUAACCUACCUCACAGGGUUGUUGUGAGGAUAAAAUGGAAAGGAGAAGAAACAUGUAUGCCAUCUUGAGAUCUUCGAAGAAAAAGUGGGAUAUAAAUGUAACAAAUGAAUGGAUAAAUGAAGUAGAAAUAA